rnacentral:lncRNA from 1 species
UAUCCCCAUGGGCACAGAAUUUUGGGUGCUCUGGUGCAAAUGUCUCAGUUCUGGAGGCUGGGAAGUCAAAGACAAGGCACUGGCAGAUUCCAUGACUGGAAAGGAGAGAAGGUCUCUGAGGAAGUGACAUUCCAGCUGAGACGUGAAGGAUAAGUAGAAACCAAGCAGAAGAAUUGGAAGAGGAAAGGGAAGAGGGAAAAGCCUGUGCCAAUGCCCUGAGAUUGGAAUAUGCUUUUUGUGUUUAAGAAAUUAACAGAAGGAGAAGCACAUCUCUGGCUGCCCUCAGUACACUAAGAGAAUCAGACCUCAGAGGUGGCUGCAUUUUAUUGUUGGGAGUAAGUAGUUUUUAAAUUUUGAGAAAUGUUAAAGAUUUCCCAAAACCUCACUAGAAGUAUGAAGCCUUGAUUAGAAAGAUAAAGGGAUUUG